UGAGCCUUAAAACAAAG
rnacentral:piRNA from 1 species